rnacentral:tRNA from 1 species
UGGGAAUUAGCCAAGCGGUAAGGCUUCGGAUUCUGAAUCCGACAUCCCUGGUUCGAAUCCAGGAUUCCCAGCCA